UACGUAGGGUGCAAGCGUUGUCCGGAAUCAUUGGGCGUAAAGCGCACGUAGGCGGCCUCGCAAGUCUGAUGUGAAAUCCCUCGGCUCAACCGAGGACGUGCAUCGGAAACUGCGGGGCUUGAGUACUGAAGAGGAUCGCGGAAUUCCCGGUGUAGAGGUGAAAUUCGUAGAUAUCGGGAGGAACACCAGUGGCGAAGGCGGCGAUCUGGGCAGAUACUGACGCUGAGGCGCGAAAGCUAGGGGAGCAAACGGGG
rnacentral:rRNA from 1 species